AGGGUGUAAACGCUGCAGACUUGGUGUUGGAGGCCCUUUGGGGGCAUUCAGUGCCGGAGAGAAGUUGUUAAGUCUGCUACUUGGGGAGUACGUCCGCAAGGAUGAAACUUAAAGGAAUUGGCGGGGGAGCACCGCAACGGGAGGAGCGUGCGGUUUAAUUGGAUUCAACACCGUAAAACUCACCAGGGAAGACUGUUACAUGAAAGCCGAGAUGAAGACUCUGCUAGAUUUUCAGAGAGGUGGUGCAUGGCGUCAGUGACU
rnacentral:rRNA from 1 species